AUUGAACGCUGGCGGCAGGCCUAACACAUGCAAGUCGAGCGGAUGAAGGGAGCUUGCUCCUGGAUUCAGCGGCGGACGGGUGAGUAAUGCCUAGGAAUCUGCCUGGUAGUGGGGGAUAACGUCCGGAAACGGGCGCUAAUACCGCAUACGUCCUGAGGGAGAAAGUGGGGGAUCUUCGGACCUCACGCUAUCAGAUGAGACUAGGACGGAUUAGCUAGUUGGUGGGGUAAAGGCCUACCAAGGCGACGAUCCGUAACUGGUCUGAGAGGAUGAUCAGCCACACUGGAACUGAGACACGGUCCAGACUCCUACGGGAGGCAGCAGUGGGGAAUCUUGGACAAUGGGCGAAAGCCUGAUCCAGCAAUGCCGCGUGUGUGAAGAAGGUCUUCGGAUUGUAAAGCACUUUUAGUUGGGAGGAAGGGCAGUAAGUUAAUACCUUGCUGUUUUGACGUUACCAAAAGAGAAAGCACCGGCUAACUACGUG
rnacentral:rRNA from 1 species